CCUACGGGUGGCAGCAGUGAGGAAUAUUGGUCAAUGGACGCAAGCCUGAACCAGCCAAGCCGCGUGCAGGAAGACGGCUCUAUGAGUUGUAAACUGCUUUUGUACGAGGGUAAACGCAGACACGCGUAUCUGUCUGAAAGUAUCGUAAGAAUAAGGAACGGCUAACUCCGUGCCAGCAGCCGCGGUAAUACGGAGGGUUCAAGCGUUAUCCGGAUUUAUUGGGUUUAAAGGGUGCGUAGGCGGUCGGGUAAGUUAGAGGUGAAAUCCCGGGGCUCAACUUCGGAAUUGCAUUUGAUACUGUUCGGCUAGAGAGUAGUUGCGGUAGGCGGAAUGCAUGGUGUAGCGGUGAAAUGCUUAGAGAUCAUGAAGAACACCGAUUGCGAAGGCAGCUUACCGGGCUGCAACUGACGUUGAGGCACGAAAGCGUGGGGAGCAAACAGGAUUAGAUACCCUUGUAGUC
rnacentral:rRNA from 1 species